GAUGAACGCUAGCGGCAGGCCUAAUACAUGCAAGUCGAGGGGUACGGGUUGCUUGCAACCCAGAGACCGGCGCACGGGUGCGUAACGCGUAUGCAAUCUACCUUAAUCAGGGGGAUAGCCCGGAGAAAUCCGGAUUAACACCGCAUAACAUUGAGUUGUGGCAUCACAGUUCAAUCAAAUAUUUAUAGGAUUAAGAUGAGCAUGCGUGACAUUAGUUAGUUGGUGAGGUAACGGCUCACCAAGACCACGAUGUCUAGGGGAUCUGAGAGGAUGACCCCCCACACUGGUACUGAGACACGGACCAGACUCCUACGGGAGGCAGCAGUAAGGAAUAUUGGUCAAUGGGCGCAAGCCUGAACCAGCCAUGCCGCGUGCAGGAAGACGGCCCUAUGGGUUGUAAACUGCUUUUGUACCGGAAUAAACCUUCUCUUGCGAGAGAAGCUGAACGUACGGUAAGAAUAAGGAUCGGCUAACUCCGU
rnacentral:rRNA from 1 species